rnacentral:rRNA from 1 species
CCCUUAGAUGUUCUGGGCUGCACGCGCGCUACACUGAUUCAUGCAACAAGUUUUGUCCUUGGCUGAUAGGCCUGGGUAAUCUUUGAACGUGAAUCGUGAUGGGGAUAGAUGAUUGCAAUUAUUCAUCUUCAACGAGGAAUUCCUAGUAAACGCAAGUCAUCAGCUUGCAUUGAUUACGUCCCUGCCCUUUGUACACACCGCCCGUCGCACCUACCGAUUGAAUGGUCCGGUGAAAUCUUCGGAUCUGAGAGAUGUCUGAUUAAUUUCGGACGCCUUUUGGAAAAGUUGCUUAAACCUUACCAUUUAGAGGAAGGUGAANUCGUAACA